UACGAAGGGGGCUAGCGUUAUUCGGAAUUAUUGGGCGUAAAGGGCGCGUAGGCGGCUUUGCAAGUGACGGGUGAAAUCCCUCGGCUUAACCGAGGAACUGCCUGUCAAACUGCAUGGCUUGAGACCGGGAGAGGUGAGUGGAAUUCCCAGUGUAGCGGUGAAAUGCGUAGAUAUUGGGAGGAACACCAGUGGCGAAGGCGGCUCACUGGACCGGUACUGACGCUGAUGCGCGAAAGCGUGGGGAGCAAACAGG
rnacentral:rRNA from 1 species